CCUGCUACUACCGUAUUAGAUUCAAGGGUCCUUCUAACAACAGAUAAAGCAUCAUGCAGAGCUCUCUCCAUCUCAUCCAGCAUAUAGUCAUUUGCACCUCUAAGGAUUAGAGAAACCGCACUAGUAGAUUUUGUCCCCUUUAUCAUAAUCACAUCAUCAUCAGCAAUGCGUUCUUCCACAACUUCAUCAGCAUAUCCAACAAGCGAUUGAUCAAAUGUUUCCUCCCCUUCCAU
rnacentral:misc_RNA from 1 species